rnacentral:rRNA from 2 species
ACUGAUUGAUGGUGCUUGCACCUGAUUGACGAUGGAUCACCAGUGAGUGGCGGACGGGUGAGUAACACGUAGGUAACCUGCCCCGGAGCGGGGGAUAACAUUUGGAAACAGAUGCUAAUACCGCAUAACAACAAAAGCCACAUGGCUUUUGUUUGAAAGAUGGCUUUGGCUAUCACUCUGGGAUGGACCUGCGGUGCAUUAGCUAGUUGGUAAGGUAACGGCUUACCAAGGCGAUGAUGCAUAGCCGAGUUGAGAGACUGAUCGGCCACAAUGGAACUGAGACACGGUCCAUACUCCUACGGGAGGCAGCAGUAGGGAAUCUUCCACAAUGG